rnacentral:tRNA from 1 species
GGGGUUGUGGCUCAGUGGUAGAGCGCUUGCAUAACAUGUAUGAGGCACUGGGUUCAAUCCUCAGCACCACA